rnacentral:lncRNA from 1 species
AAUCCCCCGCCUUCCGGCUCCGGCGGCGACGCUCGUCCCUCUCCGCUCGUCCCUCGCCGCUGCCGGGCCACCAGUGCCAGCCUGCCUCAGGAGACUCCAUUUGCGCUUAGUGUGGUCUGGGCGCCGCGCAGGCGGUCCCAGGGCGAUGCCCGGGGCCGGCGGACUGGCGUUCCCUGUGCCAAGCGGCCGCCCGCUGGCUGGCUGGCUGCAGCAGUGACAUCCUGGUCGCCGGCGUCCAGGCGGAAUCCGGGCUCCCUCCGCGGGAGGAAAGACGUCCCGCGCUCUGAAGCUCGCCCAGCGGGGAGAGGCCCUCGCUAACACGGCUUCUCCCUGACCUCUUAAUUUCAGGAGGUUUCGGAGCCUCCGAGUAUCUCUACAGCCCCCACAGGAACUGCUUCUGUUGGUCCAUCGAGGAUCGUCUUUCACCAGGAUUAUUGUAACAUCAUCUUCACCGAGCCUGCCACCCCAUAGCCUCUACCUUGGGUCCUCAUUUCCACCGAUGCAGUUUUUUUGAUGCUUUCUUUAGUAAUGUGACAUCACAUGUCCACUAUCCUCCUUUCCAGCUGCCAAAUCUAGUAGGUUUAAGUCGCUUUUAAAGUAGAGUUUUCUGCCUGUUCCACUUUCACCUUAUUUGCACUGUUCACUUCUGUCCG